CCAUUGAAACAAUACUUGUUUCUGUUGAUGAACACAAAAUAAGCAACAUAAAUUCAAGUGAAUGCAUGGAAGAGAUCACACCACAAAAUUCCUUCGAAUCUGAUAUAGAUGGAUUAUAUACUUCGCUUGAAGUAGAUAAGUCUUUUGAAAUUUUUGCUUCUAAAUUUGAUGUCUGUAAUGUUUGUUGUGAGAUCAAUGCAGCCAUUGUAAGUGAAGAAAUUUUGAUGCCGACAACCACUUGUGCAGAAAUUCAAAAGAAUUCAAUAACAAUUGAAUUUGACACUACAAGUGUGGAUGUUAGCCGCAGGCAACCAUUGCCCAUAGCGGAA
rnacentral:lncRNA from 1 species